rnacentral:ribozyme from 1 species
AUAUAUAUAUAUAUUCUUUGGUUUCAAAAAAAAAAAAAAAAAAAAAAAAAAA